CCAAUAGCGUAUAUUAAAGUUGUUGCAGUUAAAAAGCUCGUAGUUGAAUUUUGGAUUCUUCCAAUUGGUCCAUCUUUUAGAUGAGUACUGGUUGUGUGGGGUCUAUCCGCCUGGUGAUACGUAAUGUCCUUUAUUGGAUGUUGCGGGUAGUCAGGACCUUUACCUUGAAAAAAUUAGAGUGUUUAAAGCAGGCUUAUGCCGGAAUACAUUAGCAUGGAAUAAUAGAAUAGGACGAAGUUGUUUUAUUUUGUUGGUUUCUAGGACAACCGUAAUGAUUAAUAGGGAUAGUUGGGGGCAUUAGUAUUCAAUUGUCAGAGGUGAAAUUCUUGGAUUUAUUGAAGACUAACUACUGCGAAAGCAUUUGCCAAGGAUGUUUUCAUUAAUCAAGAACGAAAGUUAGGGGAUCGAAGACGAUCAGAUACCGUCGUAGUCUUAACCAUAAACUAUGCCGACUAGGAAUCAGACGAUGUUAAUUUUUUAAUGACUCGUUUGGCACCUUACG
rnacentral:misc_RNA from 1 species